AUACUUACCUGGCGGGGAAGAUACCAUGAUCAAGAAGGUGGUUCACCCAGGGCGAGGCUCAGCUAUUGCACUCCGAAGAGAAUGAAGAAGAGAAUGAAAAAUGUACCCAUUACUUUUUCAAUAAAGUGGCCAAAUCCAGACAUUAUAUUGAAGCUGUGUUAGACAGAA
ensembl:snRNA U1 U1 spliceosomal RNA